rnacentral:rRNA from 1 species
CAGGCUUAACACAUGCAAGUCGAGGGGCAGCAUGGUCUUAGCUUGCUAAGGCCGAUGGCGACCGGCGCACGGGUGAGUAACACGUAUCCAACCUGCCGUCUACUCUUGGACAGCCUUUUGAAAGGAAGAUUAAUACAAGAUGGCAUCAUGAGUCCGCAUGUUCACAUGAUUAAAGGUAUUCCGGUAGACGAUGGGGAUGCGUUCCAUUAGAUAGUAGGCGGGAUAACGGCCCACCUAGUCUUCGAUGGAUAGGGGUUCUGAGAGGAAGGUCCCCCACAUUGGAACUGAGACACGGUCCAAACUCCUACGGGAGGCAGCAGUGAGGAAUAUUGGUCAAUGGGCGAGAGCCUGAACCAGCCAAGUAGCGUGAAGGAUGACUGCCCUAUGGGUUGUAAACUUCUUUUAUAAAGGAAUAAAGUCGGGUAUGGAUACCCGUUUGCAUGUACUUUAUGAAUAAGGAUCGGCUAACUCCGUGCCAGCAGCCGCGGUAAUACGGAGGAUCCGAGCGUUAUCCGGAUUUAUUGGGUUUAAAGGGAGCGUAGAUGGAUGUUUAAGUCAGUUGUGAAAGUUUGCGGCUCAACCGUAAAAUUGCAGUUGAUACUGGAUAUCUUGAGUGCAGUUGAGGCAGGCGGAAUUCGUGGUGUAGCGGUGAAAUGCUUAGAUAUCACGAAGAACUCCGAUUGCGAAGGCAGCCUGCUAAGCUGCAACUGACAUUGAGGCUCGAAAGUGUGGGUAUCAAACAGGAUUAGAUACCCUGGUAGUCCACACGGUAAACGAUGAAUACUCGCUGUUUGCGAUAUACUGCAAGCGGCCAAGCGAAAGCGUUAAGUAUUCCACCUGGGGAGUACGCCGGCAACGGUGAAACUCAAAGGAAUUGACGGGGGCCCGCACAUGCGGAGGAACAUGUGGUUUAAUUCGAUGAUACGCGAGGAACCUUACCCGGGCUUAAAUUGCAGAUGAAUUACGGUGAAAGCCGUAAGCCGCAAGGCAUCUGUGAAGGUGCUGCAUGGUUGUCGUCAGCUCGUGCCGUGAGGUGUCGGCUUAAGUGCCAUAACGAGCGCAACCCUUGUUGUCAGUUACUAACAGGUUCCGCUGAGGACUCUGACAAGACUGCCAUCGUAAGAUGUGAGGAAGGUGGGGAUGACGUCAAAUCAGCACGGCCCUUACGUCCGGGGCUACACACGUGUUACAAUGGGGGGUACAGAGGGCCGCUACCACGCGAGUGGAUGCCAAUCCCCAAAACCUCUCUCAGUUCGGACUGGAGUCUGCAACCCGACUCCACGAAGCUGGAUUCGCUAGUAAUCGCGCAUCAGCCACGGCGCGGUGAAUACGUUCCCGGGCCUUGUACACACCGCCCGUCAAGCCAUGGGAGCCGGGGGUACCUGAAGUGCGUAACCGCGAGGAGCGCCCUAGGGUAAAACUGGUGACUGGGGCU